rfam:Streptomyces sp. DSM 15324 genomic scaffold PRJNA299231_s001, whole genome shotgun sequence.
GCGCUCGUACUCCAACGGCAGAGAGACAGGCCUUAGAAGCCUGGUGUUGUCGGUUCAAAUCCGACCGGGCGCA